rnacentral:lncRNA from 1 species
CUUUGACCUCUUAGUGCUCUCUCUCUGUCUCUGUCUCUUCUGCACACAGCUUCUUCCAUGUGGCAGGGGCGGGGUGAGGCCACAGACAGCUCCAGCUCACAUCAACCCAGCUAAUGGCUUCACAGGAAAGAGGGAAGCAAAAUCCCAGAGAAGUCUGAUUGGCCCGGCCUGGAUCUCAUGGCUGUGGGCAAUGGAAAAGCUGAGGGAACUGGAGAACAGCUGCUGUCCUCUCCCUGCGCACAUCUGUUCUGCCUCAUGCCAAAGGGAGACAAUGGCUAAAGGGGGCCUGUACUGGUCAGGCCCUGCAGAGAAACAGAACACACAGGUUGUGUAUGCAUGUAUAGGUAGGUAGGGAGACAGAGAGUGGGGAGAGAGAGAGGUUCGAGAAAUUGGCUCAUGUGAUUACAGAGGCUGGCAAGUCCAAAAUUUGCAGGGUGGGUGAUACGGUUUGGCUGUGUCCCCCCACCAAAUCUCAUCUUGAAUUGUAGCUCCUGUAAUUCCCACAUGUCAUGGGAGGGACCCCAUGGGAGGUAAUUGACUCAUGGGGCUGAGUCUUUCCCAUGCUGUUCUCAUGAUAGUGAAUAAGUCUCAGGAGAUCUGAUGGUUUUAUAAAAGGGAGUUCCCUGCCCAAGCUCCCUCUUGCCUGCUGCCAUGGAAGACGUGCCUUUGCUCCUUUGCCUUCCACCGUGAUUGUGAGGCCUCCCCAGC